rnacentral:rRNA from 1 species
CCUACGGGAGGCAGCAGUGAGGAAUAUUGGUCAAUGGACGAGAGUCUGAACCAGCCAAGUAGCGUGAAGGAUGACUGCCCUAUGGGUUGUAAACUUCUUUUAUAUGGGAAUAAAACGUUCCACGUGUGGGAUUUUGUAUGUACCAUAUGAAUAAGGAUCGGCUAACUCCGUGCCAGCAGCCGCGGUAAUACGGAGGAUCCGAGCGUUAUCCGGAUUUAUUGGGUUUAAAGGGAGCGUAGGUGGAUUGUUAAGUCAGUUGUGAAAGUUUGCGGCUCAACCGUAAAAUUGCAGUUGAAACUGGCAGUCUUGAGUACAGUAGAGGUGAGCGGAAUUCGGGGUGUAGCGGUGAAAUGCUUAGAUAUCACGAAGAACUCCGAUGGCGAAGGCAGUUCACUGGACUGCAACUGACACUGAGGCUCGAAAGUGUGGGUAUCAAACAGGAUUAGAUACCCGGGUAGUC